rnacentral:rRNA from 1 species
UACGAAGGGUGCAAACGUUGCUCGGAAUUAUUGGGCGUAAAGCGCACGUAGGCGGUUCGUUAUGUCGGAUGUGAAAGCCCUUGGCUUAACCGAGGAAGUGCAUCCGAAACUGGCGAGCUAGAGUACUAAAGAGGAUCGCGGAAUUCCCGGUGUAGAGGUGAAAUUCGUAGAUAUCGGGAGGAACACCGGUGGCGAAGGCGGCCUUCUGGACGAUGACUGACGCUGAGACGCGAAAGCGUGGGGAGCAAACAGG